rnacentral:lncRNA from 1 species
UUUACUAUUUGAUUUUUAACCUAAAGAAAGUAAUAAAAAUAUUGUUAGGGGAUUAUUUAAUUAAGUGCAUUCAUUACGACAAACAGCAAGUUGAUUUUUAUAUAUCUAUAUAUUGACCGCAAUUACCUUAAACAUGGGUAAUAUUAAACGAAUUAUUUAGUUGUGUUUGAAGACGUUCAUCAAACGUGAAUAAGUAGAAGAAAUAAUCUUCUCAAAUACGAUGAUCGAUCUAGCGUUUGUUAAGAGGAUUGUGAUGUUAAGUUGUAGUACUAGCUAGUUCUUAUGCAACUUAUGGUCACAUCUAAGCUGGAACUCAUAGAGAUACAUAAAUAGAUCGGGUUUGCAUAUGCUAGAGAAAGGGAGAUGAAGUCAUCAAGAAGAUUUGGACGAAGAAGAAAGCAACGUUGAAGAACAACAAAGAAGAACCGAAGGAGAGAGAGUCGACAACCGAGUACGUACCUUGGCGAAGAAGAUGAAUAGGUUUUGUCUUUUCGUACAAAAUUAAUGCAUAAAUCAUAUAACAAAAUAACAAUAAAACUAAUAAUACUUCAUAUAUAUUUAUCUAAAUCAUCACUCUCUUCCCUAAUUAACUUCAUCCUCUUUUUUCAAUCUAUAAUUACCCAUUUUUUAAUUAAUUAUAUAGCCUAAACUAUAUAAUUAACAACCUUUCUCCACCAAAAUUCAAAUUCUAUAUAUAUGUUUACUUAAUUGAAGUUUCACCCAAAUUCGAAAAUAAGUUUUAAUUCAAAUAAAAUAUUUAAACGAAUUAAGAAAAAUUAAAUUAGAACUUAUGUUAAAUGUUUAGAUAAACUUUUGUUUAUCUAAUUUUAUAUUUUUGAAUGUAAUUUUUAUUCUUGUUCAUCAAGUAUGAAUGCUAGUAGGACUUAGUUUUGUCCAAAAUAAAUAAAACAAAAUACUUCUCCUUCUUCUAAGUUUGACUUUAGUGAUAUGAAGAUAUUGAUGACAACCCCAUCACCAAUAACGUCUUACAUCCUUAGUUAUAGCAUCUAACAUCUCAACAUUAUUGUCCCUUAUAAUUUCUCAUUGACCAAUUGUUGCAAAUUGAUAAAGUUUUGUUAAGGGACCAAUUAAUAUAUAUAUAUAUGUCGAUAUAUGAUAUAGUUUAGUGAGUGUUUCGAGGCAAACAUUAGAACUAAAUUAGUGUCUGGUUUGAAACUUGAAGGACCAAAUAGAUGGACCAAAGUGCAUUUUGCCCUAAAACUUUACUUUGUAAAUGAGUAAUAUUUGUCAAACUAAUACUUUAAGUACUUUAUAUAUUAUUUGUUAGCACGGUAUAUUUACCUUAAUAAUAUUUUCUUUUAGGCAACACGUGUUAUUUUGUAUCUUUUCAGAGAAAAAAAAAGUCAAAGGAAUUCCACUCGAAGAGAGACUAGGUU